UGAUGAUGAUGUUGAUGCUAUUUUAGACUGUCUGAGUCAUUCACUCCAGAGGUAGAUCUUUGUUGUGAUGAGAUGUUCAACUCUCUGCUGUAUGGAUCGUUCACUCCAGAGGUAGAUCUUUGUUGUGAUGAGAUGUUCAACUCUCUGCUGUAUGGAUCGUUCACUCCAGAGGUAGAUCUUUGUUGUGAUGAGAUGUUCAACUCUCUGCUGUAUGGAUCGUUCACUGCAGAGGUAGAUCUUUGUUGUGAUGAGAUGUUCAACUCUCUGCUGUAUGGAUCGUUCACUCCAGACGUAGAUCUUUGUUGUGAUGAGAUAUUCAACUCUCUGCUGUAUGGAUCGUUCC